CCCUUAGAUGUUCUGGGCCGCACGCGCGCUACACUGAUGCAUGCAACAAGUCUUUUCCUUGGCCGAGAGGCCUGGGCAAUCUUUGACUAUGCAUCGUGAUGGGGAUAGACUUUUGCAAUUUUUGGUCUUCAACGAGGAAUUCCUAGUAAACGCAAGUCAUCAACUUGCAUUGAUUACGUCCCUGCCCUUUGUACACACCGCCCGUCGCACCUACCGAUUGAAUGGUCCGGUGAAGCCUCCGGAUUGGCGCGCACCUCGGUGCCGCCGAGAAGUUGGCUAAACCUUACCAUUUAGAGGAAGGUGAAGUCGUAACA
rnacentral:rRNA from 1 species